ACACACACACACACACACACACACACACACACACACACACACACGUACGUCUUUACCCCCCACUCGCUUCUUACACACACACACACACACACACACACACACACACACACGCGCGCUCAGACAGACAGUUACACUCACACGGGCGGGAGUGAGAGGAGGCUGGGAGAGAGAACGAGAGGGUAGUGCGCGCGUUGUAUAUGUGUGCGCGCGUGUCUACCUAAAAGCUUCCCUCGUCGCGUGUAUAAUUUUGGAAAACACUGAACACACGCACAUGAUAGUGGAGGAAAGGAGGAAAAUGAGGUGAUACAGAAAAUGGAAGUAGUUUGAUGUU